UCCCCAAAUCAUUUCUCAAAAAAGAAAAAAAGAACCAAAUCUCCAUUGACAUUGUAGCGGCGGCGGUGGUUCCCCAUGGCCUCCCAGGAGCAGCCACCAAGUCUGCCGCCGCCGGCGGACCCCGCCGCUACCACCACUCUAACCGGCCUCGGCGGCGACCUCCUCCGUGAGAUAUUCCUCCUGCUCCCGUCCCUGCCGAGCCUCGUGCGCGCGGCCUUCGCCUGCCGCACCUUCCUCGACGCCGUGCGCUCGUCCCCGGCCUUCAGGCGCCGCUUCCGCGAGCUGCACCCGCAGCCGCUCCUGGGCAUCUUCUUCGACCCCGACGGCCCCGCCAUCCCGGCCUUCGCGCCCCUCCGCCGCCGCGACGACCCGGACCGGCGGGCCGCCGUCCGGCGCGGGGACUUCUUCCUCACCGGGCUCCCCGACGACGACGACGACGCGCGCCCCGGCUGGGUCAUCAGCGACUGCCACGACGGCUACCUGGUGCUCGAGCACAUCUACACGCGGGAGGCCCUCGCCUACAACCCGCUCACGCUGGCCCUGGAUCUCCUCCCGCCGCUGCCGGACGAGUUCUACGAGGGCUUCCAGGGCCACUACAACGGCCUCGACUACCACGUCCACGCCCCCGAGGAGUGCCGCGACCACGGGGCGUUCCGCGUGAUCUACGCCUGCCACGACGACUCGCGGGCGCGCGCGGCGGUCUUCUCGUCGGACUCGGGCACCAGGGCGUGGCAGGUCCUCCCCUAUUCCGAAGCUCUGAGGACCAUCCCGGAGUCCGGCGAGCGCGAGCACUGGCUUACCGCUGGCAGGAUAGUGGACGGGUUCAUCUACUGGGUGUACUCGGAUGAAGCCGCCAUGCUCGUGCUCGACACCACCACGCUGCACUUCUCUCGGGUAGAUAUCCCAGCCUACUUGAAAGGACAGACCAGCAUGUUCAGGGUUGGCAAGACCAGGGAUGGGGUGCUCUGUGUCGUCGUCGCGAUCGAAUUCAACCUUUAUGUCUGGCUCCGGAACAUUCGCGAUGACGGCGUCGAGGUGUGGGUGAGAGGCCAGCGGUUUCAGUUGGACGACAUUGUUGAGGACACCGGGGGAACACUAGAGGAACACGGCCAGCUCAAGGUUGUGAGCGUUGUCGACGGAGUCGUCUACUUCUCUACCCAUGAGACCUUCGAAGAUGCCAAUCUUCCUUGCUGGUUCCUAUCCAUAGACCUGGAGGAAAACGCCCUGGACAUGCUCUUUCAGAGGAACUAUGACAGUCAUGUCCAUCCCUACAUUAUGCCUUGGCCCCGUUCUUUGGUACGCGACAAGGCGUGUCUUCAAGUUGAAGGCGCUCGAUGAAAUGUAGACAAGGCAUGAAUGAAGCCAACGAAACUAAGUCUACAUUCGUUUGUGUAUUGCGAAGGGAUUUACUGUUCGAUGUGAUUUCUGAAAAAAAUAAGUGUUACUGUCUCUACUACCACUGAAGAUGCCUCCUUUGGGAUGUCGUAGCAACUACAAGUCCUGAACACGAUGGAUGGAUCAUAUGGGGAUGUCUGAUGUGUAUCUGUAUUUGCAUCUCAGAGAUGUCAAGGAGCAUUGAUAUUAAUUUUUUGGGUAUCUGUAUCUGGUUAUGAACUCUUGGUGAUGUUCAGGAUGUAUGAAUGAAAAUUAACCAAGUUUGUGAA